GACGAACGCUGGCGGCGUGCUUAACACAUGCAAGUCGAACGAAGUGGCGAACGGGUGAGUAACGCGUAAUCAACCUGCCCUUCAGGGGGGGACAACAGUUGGAAACGACUGCUAAUACCGCAUACUGAAGGAGGGGAUUGCGUCGGAUUAGCUCGUUGGAGGGGUAACGGCCCACCAAGGCGAUGAUCAGUAGCCGGUCUGAGAGGAUGAACAGCCACAUUGGGACUGAGACACGGCCCAGACUCCGACGGGAGGCAGCAGUGGGGAAUCUUGCGCAAUGGACGAAAGUCUGACGGAGCAACGCCGCGUGAGUGAUGACGGCCUUCGGGUUGUAAAGCUCUGUUAGUCGGGACGGGUUACCGGAAUAGAAAGCCACGGCUAACUACGUGCCAGCCGCCGGGUUAAUA
rnacentral:rRNA from 1 species